CUUGGGAGGUGUUGCAGAUACAGAUGGCUUCGGUAUUCCCUCCCCUCUUCCACUUCUCUGCUGAAACCCCUCUUUUACCUUUUGCCUCAACAGAAGGAAGAUCCCUUGGGAUGCAAUCAAUAAGGUAAAGAGAAGAAAAGAUGCCCAAGACAGGCCCAGUCACACUACCUGUGUGUUGUGCUGGGAAUCUGCAGUUUGCAGUGGCAAAAGAGACGAGCUGCCUCAGCACCUUGUGGAGCUAUUACCCUUUUAAGAUCACCUGCUUUGACCUCUCAAAUAACCAGAGGCAGGAAGGCUUUACCCAAUGACUCCUGUGUCAUAUUCAAUCACUUGUGACUGAAUUGGGGCAUCUCGCUCUACAUAGUAUCCCAUUAUGACUGUAACAGUUCAUAUAAUGGAUAAUACAAAGUAUGUCUUAUUUCCCAGGAGGUGGGUAGUGGAGUUAGCAGAAGAUUCCAGUGCUCAGAUGAGGAUUUGGGUCAUGUUUUAAGACUGAAUGCUUAUGUCACAGUUCACUUGCCCUUUGUAGUGUUCCCACCCACAUAUUUUUGUCAGAUUUCAUUUGUUUGUCUAUUGUUAUUAUUCUUUUCUAUUGUAACAGCUCAUUAUUGUAGUCCAUUGCUGCAAAAUGCCAUUAUUUUCACCUUAUACCAUCACAGAGCAUUUAAACAUGUCUCAAUAAGUUAAUUAACAAAUGUAUUUGCAUCUCUUAAAGUAUAGUCACAAAUGCACUUUCAAAUGCAAGCCAUUGCUGCUGCUCCAUAGAAUCCUCGGGCACUAAGUCUCCAUCUUGACUCAUUUCCCCCCAAUAAAAUCACCAGAGUGUGAUUUUAUAAGUACUGAAGAAGCGCAACACUUACCUGGGUUGCUCUUGGAGGUGCGCACCGGCGUAUAGUGAUUUUUGGAGGAUGUUCUGAUUGGUGUGUUGUCUUUGGGGGAGGUAUCUAUAGCCGAGAUAGUCUCUCUUUCACAGUGUGCUAUGGGGAUUGGUCCCUGCUGCCGGAGGAUAUCGGCCAGAGCCCUGCAAGGAAGGAUGGAAGACAGUGCAAAGUGUUCACAACUCAAGAUGAACGUAAGAGAACUUGUCUCUAUGUAAUACAAUGCAAUUUAUUUUAUUUUUUUAAAAAAGAAUAUACUGUGGGCCUUACAUUUUCUUUCUUGUGUGUGUGAAUGUAUUCUUUUGUAUAAACACUAGAUGUAAUGGAGAUAUGAGAGGAGAAAGAAAAACAAAUAGAGAAAGAGAGAGCAGAAGCAGGAUGGUGUCAAAGUUCCGAGCAGGACUCUCUGUGUUGGUGGUUGCCCAUUCACUUGAAGCACUGUCUAUGGGUCAAGAUUGGAAUGCAUAGACAGGAGCCAGAAUAUCGUAAGUAAAAGCCACAGUACAACUUUCUAACACAUAUAAUGUAUGUCAGCUGUUUGAACUUUAUGCCAUUUGUACUCCUGCAUUGUAUGUAUUCUUGCUAGAAAAAACAUGCAUACACACACACAGUAGCAGCUGAUUUGAUGGGACACAGCCAAGGAAACCCACUCCCAGCACUAGUCACUACAGAUGCUGCUGCGGCAAGAUCAGGGCUGUGUUAGUGCACUUUCAGAGAUAAUCAGGUGUUCAUGCUGCUGCCUCCACACAGCCCCAACCUUGCCCCACCUCAUCUUCCUCCAGGUAAGGUGCUGGUGUCAAGAAAGCAGCUCCAUAGCUCUGCUCAACCACAAUGGCUGCUACUGCACACACACACACACACACACACACACUCACACACUCACAAUGCUUUAUGUUACAAUAUAUAUUUUUAAAGCCUCUGCUGACACAUUUGAACCUGGCCCAAUCAUCUGUAAUUUGCCACACACAGUAUAUUCUUUACAAAAGGAAAAGGAGGUGGCAUACCUUUGUUGCAGAGCACAAACUCUGCAUGGAAAAGUUCUCUGUUUCAAUCCCUGGUGUUUCCAGGUGUGGUUUCACAAGGCAUCAGUUUGACAGCUGCUGCUACUCUAUAUCAAUCAGCCUUCUCCAACCUGGUGCUAUCCAGAUUUGUUGAACCCCAACUCUCAUCAGUCCUAGCCAGCAUGGGUCAGGAAUGGUGUGAGUUGCAACCCAGAGAAGAAAAAACAACUCUGGAGGCAACUGGGUUUCAAAAGGCUGGUGUUAUCCAUACCAAGCUAGAAUUCAAAUAAGGUGGCUUCAAAUCACAAUGUUAGUUAUGUGAAAAUCUCAGUUGCAUCUCCUUCUCUCUCUCCUAGGUGUGCCUUUUGAAGAAAUAUCCCUGUGGGAUAUGAACCAUGGCUCCUUCCAGGUAGCAUUAAUGGUUUUCAAAGUGUUUCCCAAGGUUCCCAUUCCAUAAGGGGGCUGAAUCUAUAACUAUAAAUAGUAUAGUUAGUAUCUAUAACUAUAAUUAGAAGUGAAAUAUGCAACACCAGAUCUUUAAGCUUAUUCAUUCUCUCCAGGUGAGGUAAAGGUCCCAGAUUUAUAGAAUUAUUUACCUGUUUAUGCACCACUGAUGCUGCUAUUCAGGUUAUUAAGCAAGCUUUAAAACCAUCUUGCAUAUUCUUGAUUGUUUUAGGAUGAUGUUAUGGAGUGUAUUUCUUACACCUUUAAUCUUGGCUGUAAUUAGCUUUUAUCUGCUGUCAAUUUAUGGUAUUUUAAAUCAUUGUUGGAUUUUGUUCUACUUAUUUUCCAUGAAUUGUUUUAUAAAUUGUAGGCUACCUUGUGAGGGUUUUUAUUCUGAAAAGCAUCUUAAAAUCCUCCAUUAAAUGAAUAAUACCUUGGGCACAAUCCACUAGACCUGUAGUAUGAAUCCCUCUGAAAUGGAGUUGCACAAGAGCUAUAUUGCAAUACAUCACUUCUUCCAUUGCAGAAGCUUGCUAAGAAAGCAAAUUAAGUAGAACACAUGAAUUUAAAUUUCUGUGCAGCAAGCUUUCAAACAGAGUGAUUCUUUAGAUCUCAUUUUGAUUUGCAAAUGGGAUAGUUCCUAUUGGGUUUCCGAUCCCAUUGUUUCUUUUUUUACACAGAUAAAACAGUGUCCAAACUCUUUGCUCCAGCUGACAUGAAAACCUUUCUGAAAAAGAUACAGAAUGGCAAAAGGAGGAAGGGAGUGUGGGGGGGCAAGACAGGAACAAGAAAUUAGGUGGUGAAAAGGGUAAGAACACUGGGUUUUUAAAAAAUGCAUUAUAUAUAUCUAUUUAAUUGUUGAUUAAAAAAAAAAUAGUAACAGUUGUUCCGCUUUUCAGAAGAUGCUGAUUUUCAUGAAAAGUUCUGGAGUAACUAACAAACACAACCCCAUUAGGGACCUGGAUUAUGAUGAACAAGAUAUCCAGGUUCCUUGUGAAAAGUACAUCUGCAUUCAGUGCUGCAGCACUAAAAAAAAAUACAUCAAGACUCUUCCCACAGUGAGAUGCUUUUGUGGAUGUUUGAAUGAUAUUUCAUCUGUGAGAAUUUUAGACUCCGCAGAACAGGAGUGGAAGGAAACACAUGGGUUGCUUUCUUUGUGUAGCCAAGAUCUACAAAGACUCUUCCAUGACAUGGAGAGGGCAAGAGAGUUUGGCUUGGAAGCAGUAGGAGAGGCUUUAAUGCUCAUACAAUGUAAUAGGCUCUGUUCUCUCUAGUGGGGAAACAGGCCUAGAGUCAAUCUGUUACCAAUGCAAGGAUGGGAAACAAUGGGAUUCCUUAAUGCAUUAUUGUUGAAGCCUGCAAGUUGUACGAGAAACAGCUCAUUUAUAUCAGGGCUGGUAUUCCUUUGGAUCUUCAGCUGCUUCAGGACUCAAACAGCUUUCAGCUCCAGCCUGCAUGGCCAAUGGUCAAGGAUUAUGGGAGCUGUAGUCCAGCAACUUCUAGAGUGGAACAUGUUAGCCACCCCUUUUUCUUUUUCAAUCCCUCUUAGACAGGUUCAAGAUUACGAAUCACUCUUUUCCUCGGGCACCAGCCCCAUGCACAAUCAGCAACAAAUAACAAGAGUAGUGCCAAAAAUUUCCUUCAACUUUUUCAAAGCAUUGAGUUCACUGAUGGCCUUGAAGGAAAAGACAGCUUAAUGUCUCCUUUUUUUACAGUUAUAAUUCUAUAAUGAUAAGAUAUGGCAGUAGGGUGGUGUCCUAUGGCGCUGGGACUUGUCCACAGCAGGACAGAGAGAUGAGAGUGAAUUGCAAGCAUCAGUUCUCUUGGUUGCAUGAAGUCUAUAAAUCAAAAUCUGCACCACAGUAACCCAAAUUCUGUGCACUGGUUCAUAUCAAAACCACACAUCUGUGGCAUCAAAUUCCUGAGAAUGGACAGAAAUACUAUAACUGAGCAGAACACAAAAGAACAAGCUUUCUGUUACCAAAGAACGCAUCCCUUGUAUUGAGGGAUGCAUUGCCAGUCAGCAUCUCUUCUUCAGAUACGUAUAAAUUUGGGUGCAAGAGCAUGGCAGAGACUCCAGAGAAGACAAGCUAUGAUGGAUACUACCCCACAAAUAUGCAGUUUGGAAGUGCAGGCUAACCAGUGGGAAAUGAUGAGAGCCAAGAAGGAGAUGCAGUCUUGAGGAGAAGCUGAUAAGAGGGGAAGCACUAUGGCUUAGUGGUAGAAGGCAGACUUUGCUCCUGCCUAACUAUCCUUUUAAAGUUCAUUGGGAGUAUCAAUAAGCAUGUGGAUAGG